AUCCAGCUGACCAGUCCCGAAUUGGAAGAAACGCGCGUCACACUGGAU
rnacentral:hammerhead_ribozyme from 1 species